ensembl:lncRNA novel transcript, sense intronic to RAP2A
UGAAAGAGCAAGGACCAAGUUAUGUGUACCCAGGGGAUGAUCAAAAAUUCAUUACGAGUAGUGAGUUUUUAAUGCAACCUAUGAGAUCAAAGAGAAGGCUCUCUCUCUAUUGCUCCACCCCCCCUUAACUGAGUAUGCACUUUAAUCGCUGAACUAAAAUCGUGCAUGUUAUUCAUCCUUGUGUUAAAUUCCAAACUAGAAUAAAGCAGAUAUUUUCGUGGUC